UACGAAGGGUGCAAGCGUUACUCGGAAUUACUGGGCGUAAAGCGUGCGUAGGUGGUUUGUUAAGUCUGAUGUGAAAGUCCUGGGCUCAACCUGGGAAUUGCAUUGGAUACUGGCAGGCUAGAGUGCGGUAGAGGGUAGUGGAAUUCCCGGUGUAGCAGUGAAAUGCGUAGAGAUCGGGAGGAACACCAGUGGCGAAGGCGACUACCUGGACCAGCACUGACACUGAGGCACGAAAGCGUGGGGAGCAAACAGG
rnacentral:rRNA from 1 species